GUCUGUGGCCUAGUGGGUAAGGUCCUAGUCUUAGGAACAUUGGGUCUUGGGUUCAAGCCCAGCUAGGGACA
rnacentral:tRNA from 1 species